CGAACGGCAGCAUAGAGAGCUUGCUCUCUGAUGGCGAGUGGCGAACGGGUGAGUAAUACAUCGGAACGUGUCCUGUUGUGGGGGAUAACUACUCGAAAGAGUAGCUAAUACCGCAUAAGACCUAAGGGUGAAAGCGGGGGACCGAAAGGCCUCGCGCAGUUGGAGCGGCCGAUGACUGAUUAGCUAGUUGGUGGGGUAAAGGCCUACCAAGGCGACGAUCAGUAGCUGGUCUGAGAGGACGCCCAGCCACAUUGGGACUGAGACACGGCCCAAACUCCUACGGGAGGCAGCAGUGGGGAAUUUUGGACAAUGGGGGCAACCCUGAUCCAGCCAUGCCGCGUGCGGGAAGAAGGCCUUCGGGUUGUAAACCGCUUUUGUUAGGAACGAAAAGGUUUCUGUGAACAACAGAGAUUGCUGACGGUACCUAAAGAAUAAGCACCGGCUAACUACGUGCCAGCAGCCGCGGUAAUACGUAGGGUGCGAGCGUUAAUCGGAAUUACUGGGCGUAAAGCGUGCGCAGGCGGUUGGGUAAGACAGAUGUGAAAUCCCUGAGCUUAACUUGGGAACUGCAUUUGUGACUGCCUAACUAGAGUAUGUCAGAGGGAGGUGGAAUUCCAAGUGUAGCAGUGAAAUGCGUAGAUAUUUGGAAGAACACCGAUGGCGAAGGCAGCCUCCUGGGAUAAUACUGACGCUCAUGCACGAAAGCGUGGGGAGCAAACAGGAUUAGAUACCCUGGUAGUCCACGCCCUAAACGAUGUCAACUAGUUGUUGGGCCGCAUGGCUUAGUAACACAGCUAACGCGAGAAGUUGACCGCCUGGGGAGUACGGUCGCAAGAUUAAAACUCAAAGGAAUUGACGG
rnacentral:rRNA from 1 species